rnacentral:tRNA from 1 species
GUGGCUGUAGUUUAGUGGUGAGAAUUCCAUGUUGUGGUCGUGGAGACCUGGACUCGAAUCAAAGCAGCCACA